rnacentral:tRNA from 1 species
GGGCCUUAGCUCAGUUGGUAGAGCGCCGCCUUUGCAAGGCGGAUGUCAGGAGUUCGAAUCUUAUCUCUAGCUGACAGGUCCG